rnacentral:lncRNA from 1 species
GAAAAGGAAAGACCUAUAGCGAGACUUCAGUGACAGAUGGAGGAGGAAAUCUUAGAGGCCUUUAGGAUCCCAGAUUGCUGCCUUCAAUGGUUUCCAUUAGUAUUGCCAAUCCCUUCUUCCCACCAGGCACAAACUCACAACUGCAUGGCAAGUCCUAAACUCUUGUGUCCAUGUAGAUCAGAAUGGGAACUGGUUUUCUUUCAUUCACUGUGGUGAGUUCAAGACUUAUAUUGAGGAUAACAUACGUUGAAAUGCAUAGAAUCAUUGCAUCAAAUGCUCACCAGAGCCCUGGCACAUGUAUGAAGAAAAUACGCAGUUAUCUCAUGAAGGCCGAGGUUGUGUCAUUCCCUAAGCUUCUUCCUGUGAGCUCACGCUGGGCAGGGCCAGCACAGAUCGUUCAUCUUUUCUGCACCCCAUGACCGAGAAGCUGAUCAAUUUCCAGAAUAGCUCUAUCUGUUGAUAAAAUUGGAAAUGUUUG